CCUACGGGGGGCUGCAGUAAGGAAUAUUGGUCAAUGGACGAAAGUCUGAACCAGCCAUCCCGCGUGCAGGAUGAAAGCCCUAUGGGUUGUAAACUGCUUUUAGCAGAGAAGAAAAGCUUUCAUUAAUGAGAGUCUGACGGUAUCUGCAGAAUAAGCACCGGCUAACUCCGUGCCAGCAGCCGCGGUAAUACGGAGGGUGCGAGCGUUAUCCGGUUUUACUGGUGCGAAAGCGGACGAUUAAGUCGUAUUUGAAAUCUUGUCGCUUAACGAUAAAAUUGCCAAUGAUACUGGUACUCUUGAAUUGGGUUGAGGUUAGCGGAAUGUGACAUGUAGCGGUGAAAUGCAUAGAUAUGGCAUGGAACACCAAUUGCGAAGGCAGCUAACUGGGCCUUGAUUGACGCUGAGGCACGAAAGCGUGGGUAGCGAACAGGAUUAGAUACCCUAGUAGUC
rnacentral:rRNA from 1 species